UCAAAGGAUUGCGCUACUCUGCUCCGUAGGAGCUAUAUAGUGCUCUAGUUCCAUCCACCAUCGUCGUCAUUAGCCUUACGUCCGGUCGCCGUGGAUGCGAUGAGCCAUCGGAGUCAAUCCAAGGCCGGGUGUGAGUUUCCAGUGGAGAGGAAGCGCCGUCGCGGGCGGAAAGCCCGUUCACAAAGCUGGAUUGACUGGGUGGCUCGUAAGCGUCCGCUGCGGCCGUCCCCAGCGACACCCCGAGAUGCAGGCCGCGGUGGAAGGGUGGCACUCUCGGGCAGACCCGCUGGCCGCCGAGGUGGUCGGUUCGUCCAAGGUGUUCAUCGAGAAUGACGAGGCGUGCAGCGUGGGACAGUGCAACGGAGGCACCAUGAUGGCCGACGCCAUCUUCGACUACUUCUCCGACAUGGAGGUGCCGGGGGCCUGGAGCAAGAUCAACGCGGCCGUCGUGAACGCGGCCGUCUCGAGGACCAGCUUCGACGAGAGGGUCAGCCUGGGCGAAUUGACAUUGGCGGACAUGUACGAGAUGUACCCUUACGAAGACGAGUACCUCCUGGUGACGAUGCGAGGAGAGAAGCUCUACGCCAUGAUGGAGCAUUCUGUUCACUUUGAGGAACAUACUGCUGAAAAAUUCCUCCAAGUAUCCGGCAUCCGCGUGGUGUACAACCGCCAGGCGCCCCCUGGCAGGCGCGUCCGGGGCCUGCUGAUCCUGUGCGCGUCGUGCCAGGCGCCCAAGUACGAGCGCGUGGUGCGGCUUCCAGUGGUACACCAUCGCCAUGCCCGAAUUCAUGGUUAACGGGGGCAGCGGCUACGACUUCAGGGACGUGCCCAGGGGACACAAAAAGAAGACAGGUGUCACCGAUGCCAUAGUGAUGAAAAGGUACAUCAGGAAGAAGACUCCGCUCUUCCCCGCCGUUGACGACAGGAUUAUUUUC